GCAGGUUUAGCUCAGAUGGGAGAGCGUCGCCUUUACACGGCGAAUGUCGCGGGUUCGAUCCCUGCAGCCUGCACCA
rnacentral:tRNA from 1 species